AAAUUGAAGAGUUUGAUCAUGGCUCAGAUUGAACGCUGGCGGCAGGCCUAACACAUGCAAGUCGAGCGGAAACGAGUUAUCUGAACCUUCGGGGAACGAUAACGGCGUCGAGCGGCGGACGGGUGAGUAAUGCCUAGGAAAUUGCCCUGAUGUGGGGGAUAACCAUUGGAAACGAUGGCUAAUACCGCAUGAUGCCUACGGGCCAAAGAGGGGGACCUUCGGGCCUCUCGCGUCAGGAUAUGCCUAGGUGGGAUUAGCUAGUUGGUGAGGUAAGGGCUCACCAAGGCGACGAUCCCUAGCUGGUCUGAGAGGAUGAUC
rnacentral:rRNA from 1 species